CUAAGUGUGUUUCUCUUUGGCUUUGUAGUUAGCUGUUCUAACAAGGUGUGAUUAUGUUGUUCUCUCUUUAUAGAGUCUUGUUUAUCUUCACUCUUUCUCUUGACAGACCAGUAGGGGACUGUAAUGGUUAUGGCAACCAACUUGCAACACUACAGAAAGAGUGCAUUUCCUCCAAUUCUGAGUACUUACCUGCCGCUUCGUUGCAGGAAUCAGAAUAACCACAAGCGAAGGAAGACUGUCAAAGAUGACAAAGGGAAGAAGAGAAACAACAACUCAGCAUUUAGUGAGGAAGGUAAAGAAGUACCACCUUGAAAUGUGUAAGGAUCUCUACAGACAAAGAAAUGCCACGUAUGUGCAUUACCGAGACUUGCUGAAUAAGAAAGUUCAAAAGCAGCGAAUUCAGAUUCAAAUGUCUGAUUGUAGGCUCAAGCAAAAUCUUGAACAGCAAAGAAGAAGAAAGAUUGUAGGACUACAGAAUGAACUGAUUAAGCGUGGGGUCUUAAAGAACCAACAGGACUGUGAAGACUUUUGGACUCUGAUUCCCCAGAGCUGUCACAGUUCACAGCUCAAAGGAAAACUUGAGGACAUAAAAUCAAAAAUGAUUGCUUCCAAAAGUUUGCCUUCCCGUGUCCCUGUAAGAACCAGUACAGCACAGCCAACUGAUGUUUUUCUAAGCCAAAGAUAUGGGAAGCUGAAAGAAAGCUCAGCCAAUGUGUCAGAAUCAAUGUGCUGCCAACCUCUACCUCAUCAUCCAAGUAAACACAUGAAGUCCCAAAAAGAAACUGAGCAAAUAUUUCCUAAGCUGCAGUUUUCUAGGCUCUCUGAAUUGCAAAAAAGACCCGAAGAGUUGCUCCAAACUCAGGAGGAGUACAGAAUUUCUAAGAGGAGUAAGAAAUAUUUCGAACAUAAAAAGCGUCUUUUUUACUUGCAUCAUAUCUAUCAUCUUGCCUUUCUUAAUAUGGCGUCAUCCAAGAGACGGCUAGAGCAAAACAACCAGUUUGCAGAUGUUGAAAAUGAGUGCAGUGUCCAUGAUCUGAUGAUUUACUUAUUUCCAAGUGAACAUAAAUCACCAUGUGCCACUAAGAGAGAGACGGAGGGAAAUGUAUUUCCAGGCUUGGCAGGAAGGAAACAGCAGGAACAGCAUUGCAAGAGAUCCUCUAAAGCACGCACGCUUUUCAAAGAAAUGAGAAAUGAAGAUAACGGAGCCAUUGAAAUUCCAGAGGAUUGGAAAUCGAGUGUCAGUGAUUUAGCCCUACAUGAAAUGACCACUGUGCCUCUAACCCUUGAAGAUGUGGCUCUGAAACAUCCAGUGCUGGUAUGUUGGUCCUCAUUUAUUCUACGUCCUCAUAUUCAGUUCCAUAAAACCUGGGGACAUCAGGUACCAAGACUGAAGGCUUUGUCCAAUUUCUGAACUGCUGAAGAGAGAUUUGGGUUUGACUUUGCUCUCAAAUCUCAACACAGUGACAACACAGAGUCUCCAACCCUAUUUUCUGUGUGUAGGCAAGCAUGUAUCGCUAUUAGUACUAGAUCCCUAAAAGAUGGUAUUAGAAACUUGAAGUAUAGUUUCUCAGGGACCUAGUUAUAAAAUAGUUUAAUAACCUUAGAAGUACAUGGAUACUUAGAGAGGCUGAUGACUCCUUUACUUCUAACAACUGUUAUGUCUUACUUCCUUUAAAGGUAAAUACCUAUUUUCUACUACCUUGCCUAAAAUUUUAAUCAUAGAGGAAACAGUACUUAAAAGAGGGCUCCUCUAAUUUACUUCUACAGAGCUACAUGACUGUAGAUAUACAGACACAGACUCUAGCUUUUACCCUAAAAACCAGUAUCAGCCACUGCAGCAAGAGAAUAGAGAAUGUUUUCCUCUUUAACACAGAUUUUAAUAGUUUAUCUCAAUUAUUUUUGGGUUAAAAUUCCCUUAAGAUAAUACAAUUCUGUAGUAUUAUUUAGGACAUCAGAAUCAGAUCUGAUAAAAAAUAAGAAUGAACGAAUUUUGAACUUUGACUCGGUCUGGCAAUAGCAAAGCUGCUUUUUGAUUAAACAAACAAACAAAUCCCGCAACUAAAACACUGAUGUUCCUGGCUCAAAAUGUGUUAUUUCAGUUUGUUGGAAUGACACAAAAUGCUCUGGGUCAAUUCACUGUUAACCUAUAUUCUUAGUAUGUCCUUCUGACUCAUGGGACCUUAAUUCGCAUGAAAUCAGAAGCACAGACUACCUGUGUCAGACUCCCACAUCCGGUAUCUCACGUAAAUAUGGGACGUGCAGCCCAGCCGAGGCAGCACCAGUGGGAAUAAGCCACCAUCCUGGUGUGGAAUGUGUCUCAUAGAUGGGCAGGUGUUGGACUUGGCUCCCAAUACUUAGACCAGUUCAACCUACUGAAACGAUAGGACUCAGAUUUGACUUACAAUUGGAUUUUUUGUCUUGAUUAAAGACAAAAAUUGACCUUGGAUUAGGUCAAAUUAAAUAUGUUCUAUGAAAAUGCUUUCUUCUGCAAAUAUUAUACCUUCUUUCCUGCUUAAAUAAGUAAAUAAAAAUCCCAUCAAACCCUUAUCA
ensembl:lncRNA uncharacterized LOC104147946